GCCGCCGAGCUUCGCCUGGGAGACGCCUGUUCUCCGCCGGGCCGGCAAGGCCUCGGAGGGAAGCGGCAGCCGCGUUUGCUGGCGGCACCGGGUGGUUUCGGCAUGUUUCGUUGUGGAGCGCCCUGAGGUCUACAGGGCAGUCUGCAGGUUUAAUUAAUAAAAAUAUAAUAAUAAGGUGCGGGGGGGGGAGGUUGCGAAGCGUUCGGAAAGGACCUCUCCAGGAUGCGUGAAAGGACAUUGAAAGGGCAAAUAUAACUCCGUGUCAAGUGAUGGAAGGGCGAGCAUGGCGUCAUGUACCUGGGCAGAGGGGAAAGUGACGAGCCGCCUUUCCAGUUGGGAGGACAGAAGGUAGGCAGUUUCUGGACAUUUCGAUGCCUGAUGCAGAAAACAAAUGGCAGAAACCCUGGCAGAAUGUUGCAGUUCCUUCCAGACUUGGAAAUAAAAGGGAGAAGACAUAAGAAAACAAAAGACAGUAAAGGAGGCUUGUAUCCAGGACAGAAACUGACAUGAGGAGGCUGCACUGGAACUCAGUAGAGUGCAAACACAUUUCUUUCAGGAACAGCCUUGGCUCUUUGGUGGAGCACAUCCAUGGAAAGCGCUUCUGCACAGAAUCUGGAGGAACCAUUGUUAGAAUAAACUACAGUGAUACUUGUCUGAUUCGGUCUAAAGCAUGGGUCACAGACAAAUACCCAUGUAGUUUAGUGAUCAUAGAGUGAUCAUAGAACUGUAAAGUUGGAAGGGAACCGGAGGAUUCUAGUCCAACCCUCUGCAAUGCAAGAAUAUGCAGCUGUCCCAUAUGGGGAAUUAACCUGCAACUUUGCCAUUAUCAGCACCACAGUCUAAGCAACUGAGCUACCCAGGCGUCUCACAGUAGUUCUCCCAGAUCAUAUGUAGAGGUGUUCACCAUCUAUGCCAGGGGUCAGCAACCUUUUUCAGCCAUGGGCUCAGACCAUGUGGUGGGCUGGACUAUAUUUGGGGGGGGGGGAUAAACUAAUUCCUAUGCCCCACAAAUAACCCAGAGAUGCAUUUUAAAUAAAAGGACACAUUCUACUCAUGUAAAAACACGCUGAUUCCCGGACCAAAGCGGGCCAGAUUGAGAAGGCGAUUGGGCCGCAUCCGGCCCAUGAGCCUUAAGUUGCCUACCCCUGAUCUAUGCCCUUGCUGGAGGUGGCAAGGAUUGAAUCUAAAACCAAAUGCAUGUGCUCCACCAAUGUGCUGAGGCUCUUUCCAAAAGAUUUCUUUUACACUCAGUUGGAUUUAGGGCAGGAAUUUGUAGAACACUUGGACUGAGUGGGAGUGACCGUAAAAUGAGGCUGAAAUUUCUUCCAGUUCCUCACUGCUGUUUAUUCUCUGGGUCAGUAAACAGAACACAAAAGCAGUGCAUGGCAUGCUCUCGGCUGCAUCUAUAUGUGCUAUAAUACACUAGAAUGGCAGCAUUAUCUCAUAAUUCUGAACAUUCCUGGUGCAAGUAUAUAUGCCGGUGUCAUUCUUUUAAGAAACAAAUUACAAAAUAAUACAAAGGAGUGAUCCCUUUUUACUCAUAACUAAGGCGCUGUGGUCUAAAUCACAGAGCCUAGGGCUUGCCGAUCAGAAGGUUGGCGGUUCGAAUCCCCACAACAGGGUGAGCUCCCGUUGUUCGGUCCCAGCUCCUGCCCACAUAGCAGUUUGAAAGCACGUCAAAGUGUGAGUAGAUAAAUAGGUACCGCUCUGGUGGGAAGGUAAACAGCGUUUCUGUGCGCUGCUCUGGUUCGCCAGAAGCGGCUUAGUCAUGCUGUCCACAUGACCCGGAAGCUGUAUGCGGAUAAACGUUGGCUCCCUCGGCCUAUAGAGUGAGAUGAGCAUGCAACCCCAGAGUUGUCCGUGACUGGACCUAACGGUCAGGGGGUACCUUUACCUUUAAGUACUAAUCAAUUCAAUGGUGCUUACUCCCAGGUAAGUAGGGUUAGGGUCAUAGCAUUAAAUCUCCAUCGACUCCACAUAAAAGGAUCUUAGGCAGCAGUAGGAUAGUUUUUCCUGAGGACCGGGAGAGCUACUGCUGAUAGAAGGAGACAGUACCUGGCAACAGAGAUCAGUAUCUGUCUCAAUGCAAGAAAAAUCUGUCCUGAUGAGGCAACUUGAUGAAGAGGAUCAAGAGGCAUUUUUGGAAUAGCCCUUCAUUUUUUACCUGGGCUUAGAAAUAAAAAUAAAUGUAGUAUAAUAAGGCACCUGUUGAGGAAGCUGAAAAUAUCCUAUGUGGCAAAGAGUUUUCCCCUAAGAGUGCAUGUAUGGUGCAGUCUUGCAGUGAUGUUUGUGUAGAAAAGGAAUGAAGAGAGUUUGUUGCAGCUGGAGUGGCAUAAUAGGAAAAGGAAGGCUUCUGUGGGAGCAGGUUCCACAAGGUGGCAAUGUGAGCACAGGCUAUGGAAGCAGGUUUUCAUUUUAUAGUAUGCCUGUUGGGGGUGCUGGACCUGUAGAGAAGAAGAUGGAAGCAAUUUCUCUUAGAGAUUGCUUCUAGUGGUAAAGGAAGUAUUAUGUUGCAAAGAACAAGGACAAGAAGAGCAGGAGCGAGUUCACAUUUAAAAUGUCCCUUCCGACUCCCCCAGAGCCCUCAGAUUUUAUCGUGGUGUCUCCAAGGAGUUACUGAAGUAAUAUGCAAAGCACUUGGGACACUCAAAAAUGUCAUUCUGUACAUGCAAAUAAUAUGUUAAACAGAGAACUUGAUUAUGGCCUUUUCAGCUACAACUGAGAAUAAGUUACUUUUUAAUGUAGAUUACAUUUUCAACUAUUAGGGUUAUCUUUGAAAUCCAAAUACCGAUAGUAAUUUCAUGUGAACCUUUUUACACCUUAACUCAUUUUAGGAUUUGCCCGCAAUUUCUAUGUAGAGAUUUGUUUUUCAUCUAGCUUAGAAGUAAGUACUGGCUACUCCAUUAUGCUGGAUGAAGAACAUUGUCUGACAAUACUUAAAUAUGUUAAAAAUAAUAGACUCCUGUACCUCAUUUGCAUCUCAGCCCCUCACAGAAACUGGCACAGUACAACUUUGGCCUUUUAAGCUAAAUGUUGGGGGAAGACAGAAUUGUAGGGCAGUAUAAAGAGAGCUUCCACUAAAAAAACCAGGGACUAGUGAUAGUAUCUAGGGGUGUCAGUGUUCUUUCUUGAUUAAUAGGUGACCGUUUGGUGGGUAGGUGAGUGCCUUGGCAGUUUGAGUUUGUGCCAUACCUGGAUAGGAGCAGGACGUCAACAGGCUUGGCUUGUGGUCUAGAGACAGGUCUCCAUUCCUGCUUCACUCUCACACAACAUUCCUGACCUGCUUUCAGGUAAUGCCAUCCAAAAACUUGUGAGGCUGUGGCAUAUUUGCUGUAUGGCACUCUUGAAUGGCACUUUUACAAUUUAGACCUGUGAUCCACUUGCGAGGGCCAUGAGGCAGAAGUCCCUAAGGUGGUGCCCUGUGGGGCCCCUGGCACCUCUGGCACUGGCAGAGAAGCAGCACUGGCAUCAGCCCUGAUUUCUGGCAAGAUCUUGGUGAACUCAGAAGAUUUAUGUGGCAUCUCAUGAGAUUUUUGCAAUGUCUUGCAGGAAAUUAGCUCAAAUGUUAGGUUCUUCAGGAAGAACCAGAUGCACAAAUAAAGGAUGGAGGACACCUGGCUUACUAGCAGUACAUGUGAAAAGGAUCUAGGGGUCUUAGUGCACCACAAGCUUAACAUGAGUCAACAGGGUGAUGCAGCAGCCAAAAAAGCUAAUGCUCUUCUGGGCUGCAUCAACAGAAGUCUAGUGUCCAGGGGAUGGGACUUGAACCAAUGGAUUCAAGUUACAAGAAAGGAUAUUCCAACUAAACAUUCAGAAAAACUUUCUGAUAGUAAGAGCUGUUCAGCAGUGGAACAGCCUUCCACGAGAGGUUGCGGACUUUUAAGCAGAGGUUGGGUGGCUAUCUGCCAUGGGUGCAUUGCGGCAUGACCCCUGGGUCCCUUUCAACUCUACAAUUCUAUGAUCCAGCUUUUGGAAGCAAGGAUUCUUCUCCCAGGGUUGAUUUAUGGAAAGCCAAAGAAGCAGUUGGAUGAUAGGGAGGUUGUGCAACCAAGGCUUUGUCCUUGUCAACUGGGAUUCCUCAAGGCUGAAGCCCAGGCAGCUCUGAAAUAGAAGUGUUCUGUACAGGCUCUAAAUUAAUUGUCAGCUAUCCUGGUGGUUGGUAGUUUUCAUUUACAUAUGCUAAUUGCCCUAAAGAUAAGUCAUUGUGAUAUUGAUCACUGCCUGAAACAAAUGUUCACAUUAAAAUAUGGGGGGAGGGUUGCCUAGGGAACACAGGAAAUGGGUUAAGACAGUUUAAAGCCAAGUGGGUGACUGCCAAGCCAAUAGGAUACCAGAUGGUAUAGGCCUCAGAUUAGCCUUUCCCCAUAGGGACUAGAAUUUUCAUCUCUUGUCACUGCUGUUUGCCUCAAAUCCUCAGGCUCCCUUCCUGUGAAAGUGAGCUCCAAGAUCCUGCAAGCUUCCACCCCAACCAGAUGCAAGGAAUUCAUUCAGCUCUGCAGUCUCCUUUUCUUCCUUUAGCACACCAUUGUCCAAAUAGCCUCUCCUCUGAUAAUGUUUUUUAUAAAGAUCUUUUUGUCUUUGCUAAAACGUGGCUUACAUUGGCAUGUUUUCUCCUAUGAUGAACACCCCCCACAAGUUGCACCUUGACAUCAAGCAAGUGCCUUUGCUGUACUGUUUGGGGCACCUGCCAAAAAAAAUCUGUUUCAGCAGGCUGACCCAGAUAUGUAAAGUUGACCUGCAUUUAAAUUCAUAAUUUUAAAAAAUAAUGAAUAUUUUAAGCUACUGGUUUUAUUUAUACCUUGAGGGGUUUUUCAAGGUUAGAAGAAAUAAAAACCAAGUUUCCUGUGCUAAAUUACAUUUAUGUCCUACCUUCCUUCUCGAGAAUGGAAAGUGGCGUAUCCCUCUCACCAAUACAGCAGUUCUGAAAUGCCACACAGUUAAGAGCAUUGUAGCUUUUCCCUGGUCACCUCAAAGUGCAGCAGAGGAUGGCAAAGUCCCUACAGUUGUGGGGAAACCUGUUACAUUUAUAGUGCAGC
rnacentral:lncRNA from 1 species